CAAUAUUUGGUCAUCGCUUUCAAAGCACACCUCAAAGCAGAUGUAUUUGAUGCCCUCAGCUACAUUCUUACGUAAGCCGUUGUGGAGAUUUCUUUGAUUGUCUGGGCACGACAUACACCACCAUCCGUCUGGCAGUCUCAUUUCUGUUGCAGUUCUCAGUCUCGGGGGAGGCGCAGGUUGUAUUGAACUGGCUGAAGUGUCAAGAAGCAUAACAUGCCAUACCAAGGGCUUUUUUUUUUUCUGGGCUUUCGGAGUGAUUGCGGGUCUUUCGUGUAAAAGAGUGUAUUCUCAGUGGAAUCAAAUGGAAAAAAUAAACGCACAAUUAAAGCUGUUCAGGAUGUGCAGGAGAUUAAAAAUUCUCCUGUGAUGGACUACUGCUAAUCAGUAUCAUAGCCUGCUGUGUAAUGAGGAGUGAAACUUGAUUGAUCUCAGCACCUUUCUUCCUGUCACAUUGCAAGAACAGUGUCUCGCUAUUUAUACAGCAUGUCAUUGUACUCGCUAACGUGAUAAUAGUUUCUAACAUUAAGCUGAUUAUAUACAGCUGCAAUCAAAAUGAUUCGACCCCCAUUGCAAAUCAGGUUUAUUGUCAAAAUUGACAAACUUUCAGCUGUUUGCAACGAACAAAUCAAACAAAAGCAAUUGCGGUUUCCCCAAAUUCAACUGGAAAUGCAACUUUCCAAGGCGUGGUUGCAGAAGAAGUCCUGGAAAAUUCUACAGGGCCAUCACGGUCAUCUGACUUGAACCCCAUAGAAGAUCUCUGGUGGGAUUUGAAGAAGGCGGUUGCAGCGCACAAACCAAAGAAUAUUACUGAACCGGAGGCCAUUGCUCAUGAGGAAUGGGCUAAGAUUCCUCAGGAACACUGCCAGAAGCUCUGCAUCUCGUAUUCAGCAGAACAUAACAGCAAAAAUGUGCUCUACUAAGUACUAAAGAUGCUUGCCAUGAAGGGGUUGAAUAGUUUUAUAAACUGGAGAAAUCAUUCUAAGUUGCAUUUUUCAGUUGAAUUUGGGGAAACCACUUGAAGCAUUCAUUGUGUUGAACUAUUUCAAUUGUUUGAUUUGUUCAUUGCAAACAGCUGAAAGUGUGAGAAUUUUGACAGUAAAUCUGAUUUGCAAUGGGGGUUGAAUAAUUUUGAUUGCAACUGUAGAAACGGCUCAUUUAUCAUGUUAACUCUGGAUCAAAUAUAUUUUGGCACUGGUGCUGUAAAAUGGUUGUAUAUCUCCCUGAUGUUCCAGUUAAGAAAACAAACAAAACAAAAAGUGUUAUAUGGCACCGAUGAUGGAUGUGAUGUGUAGACCUAAAUGUUGGUGCUAAAACCAGUGCGUUCAGUCCACAGUAGGACGGGUCGAGUGAAUGUCAGAACGGUGUGUUGGUGUGAUUCGAUGAGAAGCUACAUGUUUGGGAAUCCUAUCAUUUAAAACCAUUCUGGUGCACCUCCUGCCCUUUCCAGCUCUCCUGCUUGUUGUUGCUAUGACAGUGACAUAUGAAGAUAAUAACUGCAGUUAGAGUGCAACGUCUUUGUACACAGAAGGUGCUUGGUUGUUUUCUGGGGAUUCAAAAUACGUGAUGUCGGCAAAGUUCCAUCGGAAAAUAGAGAUCGAGAUGGAGUUUAGUCAGAUUGGUGCAGUUUUUUUUGUUUGUUUUUUUUCUUUGUUCAGGUCAAAACACAGCAAUCGCAGUGGGUGUGUGCCAAAACAGCCGGUCUGAGCAUCUGGAGUGUGCGAGGUGGACUCGCUCUGCUUCCAAGUCAACUCCAGGAUGGUUCAUUUGCAGUGAGAAAGCGAUUCGACUCUGAAUCACUUCACUUACUGCCAUGUGUUUUGGGUUGCAGGUAGAAUUAUUUUGUAGAUGCAAAGGUGCAAACUGAGCCAAAGAACACAAAUUUAGCAACUGUGGCUCAGGUGGUAGAGCGGGUUGUCCACUAAUCGUAGGGUUGGCAGUUUGAUUCCCGGCCCACGUGACUCCACAGCCCAAAGUGUCCUCGGGCAAGACACUGAACUCCAAGUUGCUCCCCAUGGCAAGUUAGCGCCUUGCAUGGCAGCUCUGCUACCAUUGGUGUGAGUGUGUGUGUGUGUGUGUGUGAGUGUGUGUGUGAGUGUGUGAGUGUGUGUGUGUGUGUGAGUGUGUGAGUGUGUGUGUGAGUGUGUGUGAGUGUGUGUGUGUGUGUGAGUGUGUGUGUGUGUGAGUGUGUGUGUGUGAGUGUGUGUGUGUGAGUGUGUGUGUGUGAGUGUGUGUGUGUGAGUGUGUGUGUGUGUGUGUGUGAGAGUGUGUGUGUGUGAGUGAGUGUGUGUGUGUGAGUGAGUGUGUGUGUGUGAGUGUGUGUGUGUGAGUGUGUGUGUGUGAGUGUGUGUGUGUGAGUGUGUGUGUGUGAGAGUGUGUGUGUGAGAGUGUGUGUGUGAGAGUGUGUGUGUGAGAGUGUGUGUGAGAGUGUGUGUGUGAGAGUGUGUGUGUGAGAGUGUGUGUGUGAGAGUGUGUGUGUGAGAGUGUGUGUGUGAGAGUGUGUGUGUGAGAGUGUGUGUGUGUGAGAGUGUGUGUGUGUGAGUGAGUGUGUGUGUGUGAGUGAGUGUGUGUGUGUGAGUGUGUGUGUGUGAGUGUGUGUGUGUGUGUGAAUGGGUGAACGAGACACCGUGUAAAGCGCUUUGGAAGCGCUAAUGUUAAAAAAGCGCUAUAUACGUGCAGACCAUUUAGUGCUGCAGAAACGGACCCCAUUGUGGUAAACAAAAUGUUUACAGUUAGUUCAUUGUAUAAUUAAAUAAUUUAAUUCAAUUGAAAGUUAUUGAGUGCCAGUAAUAUUUGCCGAAGUAAUAUUUGUGAUCCGUAUGCACCACUGACGAAUGUCUGUUUGCCGUUUUCUGCCGUUAAAUCUCUGACGAAUGAACGGAAGAGUUCUGUGAGUACAUUUUCAGCCCUACGUGACCAAAUAGCAAAUGAACUAAAAGUGUCCUUUGAUUUGGGUUCAAGCAACCGACUAGUCAUUGUUUCUAUAGCAUGUAUAUCCAAGAAAAAAACUAAACUGCAGCUCUCCAUAGAGCGAUUUUGUGGCUGAGGGAAAAGAACGAUGCUUAUUAAAAACCCUGAAAUGGCCUUCAACCAUCAAAACAAAAAAAAAGGUUCACUGAUAAAACCAUUAAUAACUUAAAUCACUUUGAUAAAAUCGAAAAGAAACCAGAGAAACGUCUAAUCGUGCAAGCUUUCUAAAUAAAGGAUUGACAUUUGUAUGUGUCAAACGGCCAUCUUAGGAAUUCUGGAAGUCAUGCUGGACUUACAUCAACAGCACUGCAAUCUGUGCAUCUUUAGAGUACGACAAGGGAGAGUACGGGGUAAAGCGUCUUGCUCUAGUUGUUAUUACAUAGCUUUUAUAGGAAAGGGCUCCGGGGGAAUUUGUAGAGAGAGUGGAAAGGGAAUGGUGCUCAUAACCACGAUAAAAGCUCUCCUGGGGCCGGAGAGACACUUUAAGUCCACUGACCAUCAUGAUCAGACUGAGAUUUCAUGGCAAUGAGUUGUCUUUCAUAAAAAUCCAUGAUGGAAGAAAUUGUUUCCAGUUCUACAGGGAGGCGCUCGGGGUACUCUCAGUCUCUCUGGCUCUUUCCAAUACCCUACAUGAGCAGUUAUCCCCGAGCAUUUUAUUCUAUUAUUUAUUUUAUUUCUUCAGAUUAAUACUUGAUUCCGCUUAAAUACGUAACUGAAUUUUGUCAGCCACUGUUAUUUAUUUAAAUGAGUCAGACGUGUCGGUGAACAAGAGGCAUGUCGGGAGUUCAUGUUGAAUUCGUAUUGCGUGCACAUAUUUCAUUCAGAUCUUACCGCCGCCUCCACUGAAUCGUGCAUUUUUGCAUUAGAGUUAAGCAAACACUUUAAUCGAGCCACUUAAUUAGCCGACGCCGAGCACUAUAAACGAUGCUGUGGUAAAAUGAAGUGAUUGUGAAUGGUUGAAAUGUCAUGUUGAGAGUGCCGUGUUUUGUAAAGUGCCUAAUUCCCGCAGUCUGAGGUUUAUGUGGGAUGAUGCUACAGUGUCCCCUCUGAUUACUAUAAAUCUUUAUCACUUGCCUGCUGGCAAUAGACUGCUCGUGUGAAGAGGGCUACCAGUUUAGGUUCUU
ensembl:lncRNA